UACUCGAGUGGCGAACGGGUGAGUAACACGUGGGUGAUCUGCCCUGCACUUCGGGAUAAGCCUGGGAAACUGGGUCUAAUACCGGAUAGGAGCCAUUUUUAGUGUGAUGGUCGGAAAGUUUUUUCGGUGUAGGAUGAGCUCGCGGCCUAUCAGCUUGUUGGUGGGGUAAUGGCCUACCAAGGCGGCGACGGGUAGCCGGCCUGAGAGGGUGGACGACCACAUUGGGACUGAGAUACGGCCCAG
rnacentral:rRNA from 1 species